UCCUUCCACUUCAUGGCCAUGCUCUUUUUCUUCGGCCCCGGCUUCUGCAGCAUCGUCAGCCUGCACCUGAGCAUACUCGAGUGCGCCGGAGGAAUCAUCGCUGGGAUAACGGCCGUGGUGCUGGCCGGCGUCCACCUCGUGCACGCCAUCUACUGCCUCACGGGCUCGGUGACCCGACACCACAACAUCAAGAUCUCCGACCUGCAAGAUACUUUCUCGGACCUCGUCCAUUGAGAUAUGUGCGAGCUGCCAGUGCCUCGCACGUGUCGUCGUCGUGUACUUGUCGUUUUUCACUCUUUUAUUAAUACAUAUUGCAACCCUAAGAGGGUUAUCGCUGAAACCUGCA